UCACCGAGUAGUUCGCGCCAAAUCGUGUGCCGCAAAUUUACCGCGAUUUAGUGAAUAAAGUGUUCUUCGCCGCUUCAACGAGUGAAAAUCGUGUGCAAAUAACAUCUGUGCAUGCGCACAAGUAAAGGUUAAUGGGCGCCAGCAGAAGGACGGACAACAUUCACUGGAAUACUCAAGGAAUGUUUGCAGUCAUGGGUUUUUUUGAGAAACCAUCUGUAAUAUUACUUAUAAGGGCUAUUCUUCCAUUAAAAUAAAAACGAAGUAAUUUGUAA